GUCCCAGCGGCUUUGUUAAUCAAACAAUUUCAGCUCCCAAGUAUUUCCCUUGGGUUUGUUUUGCUGAGGCCGAGAAGCCAGAAGCGGAAAUUACGCCUCAUUUUCCCCAUUUUGUUAAAUAACCAAGAAAAUCUUUGAGAUAUGAUGCUUAGUGUCACUUUUUUGGUCUCAGCUCGACCUCCUCGGGGUUCAGAGCCUUUGAUGUCGUUCCAUAUUGUGCAUCUCACAGAGCCUUUGUCUUGGAGGAGAAUUUCUGCCUGACAGCCACUCACACUCACACACACCCGCUGUCAAGAUAUUGCGUGCCGUCCUAAAUUAUUUGGUAGCGAUGGGAGAAACACCUGCUUCCUGAGAACAUCUCUUCCUUUUAAUCAUCCUCAAGAAUUUUUUUGGGAGAUGCAUUAUUUAAAAUGGUAACGACAACCUGAUGCAGAAACAGACACUUCACCAGCUUGAAUGACAUUCCAUUAACUCCAGAGUUUUCCUUGUCCACAAAGAAAGCAGCUGAGAAGCAGAGCCUGUGUGAAGGGAGGGAUGGGAGCAGCUCCUGAACUGAUGCAGCUCCUGCUCGUGGGAAUGGAGAUGUUUUUAUGACAUCUGGUGGCCAUAAAAUCUCAACUCCUGAUGGAUCUUCUGGCAAACAAACAAAGAAAUCAUGAAAUUAUCUGAAGAGCUCGUUCCUUGAAUCCCCCGGAAAACAACUGCAAGCUGAACAUCAAAGAGCACAAACAAAAUAUUGCCACAUUAAUGUCUCCUGCACAAAGGGAGCCUUUUGCUGUGUGCAAUGUGCUUAUCCUGCAAAUGCUGAAGCAGCUCCCAGACCAGCAGCAGAAUAAUUCCUGCCUGUAGCAUCCCGAGAGGAGAGCGGAGCAUCCUCCGAGGUGCCACCGACGCCCUUGGCUCGGGGGGACUGGUGGCCCCUUCACCACCCCAGGGGGGUCCUACACCAGUGUCCCCACUGCUUUGGGGACAUUUGCUUUGGGAUCCACGUCCCAGCUCAUUUCCAGCGCUGGAGUCCCAGGGAUGCUGCCCAGAGUGAGCCUGGGAGCAGGAGCAGCAGAGAUUUUCAGGAACCUCGGAGUGAAAUUGUUUUCCUGUCCUGCAAAAUACUUCAGAAACUUUCUAUUCCUGAAUUGAGGCUGCUGCUUGGACUGUUUUCCAUCUCCUUCUAACACACGGAGCUCCAUUAAGAGACCCUGCUCCAGCUCCUUGGGGGUCUGCAAGAAGGAACGUGGCCUAAACCUGGUCCCUGGAGGGACAGUUGCCACCUCCCAGAGGACACAGCUCACAUUCCAACAUAUGUUGUGACUUGGAACAAAACCUGCAGGAGCUGAGCCAUGAGAGGGACUGUUCUCCUAUUGAAAAGCAAUAUAGAGCAGAGAGCAAUGGGACAGCCUCCAGACAGUGAGAAAUGGUGUGUGAGGCUCUCUCUGUCUCCUGGAGGAAGAAGUCAGGGGGCUGUUUGAGGCCUUUGUUCAUAUCAAACCAGGAGAGAUGUGGACUCUGAGGGAGUGAUGUCCACACACCUGGCAUGGACAGGAGUUACCUUGAUGGGUAACCACACAUCAGGCAUUUCUCUGAGCAGAUCCUGCUGUUGGGGCUUUUGUUCCCCAGCACGUUCCUGUUUUAUCUGCUCCUUUGGCAGAGGUGCCAGGCAGCACAAUGAGACUCCUCAGGAAAUGGAGACACAGAAGUUUUAAUAAAUGCAAGUUAUCUAAAAGA